GUGACAGACCAAGACCAUGUUUCUUACCCUAAAACAACAACAACAAAACACCUGGUACUGAUUAUAUCACUAUAGGUGUAUGAUAACAAUUCAAAACAAAUAAGUAGUCUUCCUUCUGUCUGUCAUUCUGUAACAAAUAAAUAAAAAAUAAGAAAAUAGGUAGUAAUUAGGAUUGUGUUUUAGUGAAUCCUCAGGUAGUGUAUUUGUUAGGCUGAAUAAUGGCUCCUCCCAAAAGAUAUCCAUGCCUUAAUCCCUGGAACCUAUGAAUGUUACCUUAUAUCACAAAAAGUACUUUAAAGAUAUAAUUGAAUUACAAAUUUUGAGAUGGGGAAAUUACCCUGGAUCAUCCGGGGGGAUAAUUUUUAUUGUAGUUAUAUUUUAUAGUUGUAUUAUAGUUAUACUGUCUAAAUAUAACUAUUUCCUUUAGAGGCAAAUAGUUUAGGGUAACAGAUUAGGGUAAACAGAUUAGGGUAAAUUCUGCAGUCAAGUUGAUGUGGAAGACAAGAUUACCUGGAUAAUAAGAGUCAACAUUAUCUGCUCCACAUUUCCUGAAUGAAACCAGAAUUAUCUGACUUCCUACUUUGGCUCAAGGGCCAAACUGUGCCUCCAGGCCAUCACAACCAGUAACCAUGCACAAUUGGCUCACUGAUUCCCGUAAAGCAACUCAUAUGCUCUGAGUUAUGACUAGAUCUAUUUCAGGACUUGUCACAUUGUCAGGCCAGAUUUCCACAAUACAACCCCUGAGCAGAGCCUCUAAAGAUGGAGAUUCCAAAGACCUCUUUUAUCCUAUUGAAUGCACAAAAUUUUUGGAGCAAGCCCUCUACUCUCCACCACUUAGUCAGGGAAGUUCCAAGAGGUACAGCUUUACUUCCUGAGUUGCUUUGGAUGAUCAGACCAUCCAUCAAAUUCCCAGCUGUUCUCACCAUCAUCCACUCCAAAACUACAUAAUUUAGACUACUAAUUAAAUCUCAGGUAAAAGCUUUAACUUUAUGCCUUUGUAAUUAGGAGACAUUUUUAUACACACAUGCAUAUUCCAAAACACUUUUUAAUUAAAACAUUCUGGGGGAAAUAUCCUUACUUUCCAUUUUGGAGAUGGUGCAAAGUAUUAAGAAAAGUUUGAUUUUGCUCAGAGCAUUCCUGUUUUAAAUCAAACUAAUUUUUCCAUUGAAUAUUCUAAGAGUGAUUUGCCCACCCUUAAUGUACCUCAGCCAGAAACAUGUUCCCUUUGAAAUUAAUCCCAGCUUGUGAACAUUGAAAGGUGAAGACCGUAAGGAAUGUAAUUUCAUAUUAGUGGUUUCUGUGACUAGAUAAACAUUAAUAAUGUUUUCAUACUGGCCUAGAAAGUGAUUUAAUUUAUUAAGUGCAGUGGACAUAUGGUACCCUGUUUGCAUUAGCUAUGCCCAGUACAUGAAAAGAAAUCACUAAGUAGAAUUCAGUUACCUACUUUUUUUCCCUAACUCACUAUAUUUUAUGUAUGAAUUUGCCACUGGUAAUGAAGAGCUCCAGCUAAUAUGAACAAUGGCAAGAGAAGUUAUACCAUUAAAUGUAUAGGUUCAUAAAUGUAGCAUAUAAAAAUGGAUGAUUUGCAAUUCAAUUCUACAAAUAUUGUGAUAAUACUAUGUGACAGGACUUAUAGCCUGAACUGGGGAUAGAGAAGUGCAUGAGCCAGAUGCAGCCCCUGCCCCAUAGACCUUAGGGUACCACUCUUUGCCAGAACCAUGGUGGAGGUAAUGGGGCAUCUAAAAUGGAUUGCCUUCCUCAAUAUCCAUUCCAGCCUCCUUCCAGUACUCCUGAGUUUGGAAAGCUAGAAAUUACAUUUCCCAGACUCCCUUAUAGUCAGAGUUUAGGAUGUGGUUGGGAUUCCACCAUUCAGAUGCACUCAAAAGACUUGGAUUGUAACUAAAUUAAGUGGAGACAUGGCUUGCCACAUAAUUUGGAAGAGCCAAUAUAAAAUUAAAGUGUGAAGACCCUUGUACAAAAGGCAGGAAAAAAACUUUUUCCUCCUGUCUUCUUCCCCUGGUCUUUCUCACCAUCUAUCAGGGUGUUUUGUUUGUCUGUUUUUUGCUAUUGAAUGUUAUAGUCCCAGAAAUGUGAGGAUACUCAGAUAUGAGGGCAGAUCCUCACCAGUACUUAUAAUCUGGCGUAUGUGCAGCCCACUGGCUAUAAGGUUUCCCUCCUACCUGCUGCAAGACAAAAGGCUCCACAAGUUCAAUCAGGCAUCUUUUUCCUUCCACUGGCCACAGCAACUCAAGGUUGUUGGGUGACCCCCGAGAGUACUGUCACCUUCAUGUAUAGAUAAAUGAGACAGUUGGAUGGAGACAAGAGGUGUACCCUCACCAAGUCACCCACUGAAUGUUCCAUGAUGCUACCAGCCUGGGGCAAGGACUGCCACUGCCUUGCCCUCUCCUAUCCUGUCUUGCAUAGAGAUGCUCUGGGAGCAUGUGCCUGACUCUAACUAACCCCAAUCUUCUUCCUAUCCAUGCCUAGGGCUCCACCAGAGGUGGAGGGAGGCAGUGAUUGGUGGACCAUGCCCAGGAAGGGGACGUGUGGGUUAGAGGAGCUGUUGGCUGAGAAGCUGUCACAGGAAGGUGGCAAGAAGAAGACCUAAGGUCCCCCAGGACAUACUCUAUUGUCCCCAAGGACAUCACUUUUAAAACACAAAUUAAAAGACAAAUUUUUAAGAAUUUCAUCAUGGUAGCCACAGAGCACUAAACUCCAUGGAUGGGGGCCCAGAAAGAAUGCAUAGAUCACCUGCUCAUGAAGCUGGUGCUUCGUGGAAAGAAAGCAUUCCAUUUUAUGCCUGCUGAUUGUGGCAUCAAGGAUCUCCUGUUAUCAGUUUCCUGCCAAAAUGUCAGGAGGAGAUUGUGAGAUUCUUGGCCACGCAAAAGUUGGGUGAUUUUGGAAAUGGGGAGUUUUUCCUAGAAACAUAGCCUAGAGCCUGCUCUUUUAGCCACUUUAAUGAUUUUCUAAGCCAUCUAAUAGCUGGUAAUAAUUUCCUUAAUACUUAGCCCAACCAGAAAGUCUUAAUUGCAAAUAACAGAAACCACAGCUGAUAAUUCUCUCUGGAGAAGCAUGAAAUAGACGUCAGAAGAAAAUUGACUGUAGUGGUGGCCACCAUUCCAAACAGAAAAAAAAAAAGCAUUUGAUAUUGCCGAAGGUCAUUCAGUGCUAGAAGAAAAAUCAUUUAUAUUAAAGGAGAGGCAUCAUGGAAAUGGAAUAGCAGUGUCAUUCCUAGCUGCCCUUUAUAUUCCAAGAGUUGGAGAGAAUUCUUGAAGCAGACCAGUGAUUAGCAAGUGGGCACAGAAACAAAUUGUAUCCUUGCUCAGAAAAAAAGUAGGAAUCAUCCUUGUGAUAUAGUAGGAAAAACAUGAGCUUUAGAUUUAUGUAAAUCGAGGUUUGAAUCCAGGCCAUCUACUUUCUCUGUUACCUUCGGUAAGUAACUUCUCUAAGUCUCAAUUUCCUCAAAUUGUUCUUCUAGGGUAGUUAGAGAUAAUAUAGAAAAACAACCCAGUAUAAUGUCAGAUACACAGUAGAUAUCAAUAACUACUGAAAUCAUAAUAAAAUCUGAAAUUGGUACAUAGGACGAUGUGGAUGGCUUUCCCAGGUCACUAUUGCAUCUGGGUAUAUUGUCCAAGCAGAACUUCUGUAAAGCAAUACCAUACGAAAUCUCCAUGGGAUUUAUUGGCAUCAAUCUCCCAGUCUUCCACCUACCCAUCUACCCCCAGUCAACUCACCCAUACCCCUAUCCCAAAUAACCAUCUACCCUCUCUCCCUUCUAAAAUUGGCACGUAGAAUUCAAUAUUAAGAAUUCUCAAGAUUAAGUAGUAGCUCUAUCUAUCAUAUCAAACCACAAAUUAGAGAAAUGAUUUACUCCAAAAUGAAAUUCAUUUAAAACUCAUAUAAAACUUUCUCCUCCCAAAGUUGGAUCUGCUUUAUAACAAUUGCAGGGAUGCUAAGGAUCUCUGUAUGUUUGGGAAUCUCUUCAUGUCAACUCCAUCCACCAUACUGAAUAUUAAUCAGAAAUCUUUCUCUACCUUUGCAUGUGCUAUUUCUGCAGCUUGAGUUUUCUUUCCCUGGUUGGUGUGAUACAUUCAAGACUCACUUCACAUUUCUACUCCUCUUUCUAUCCCAGGGCCCCGAGACAGCAGAUUUCACUCUUCAUUACCAGCACAGAACCUUGCGCACACCUCUACACAACUCUUCCUAUAGUGAAUUUCAAGUAUUUGUUUAUAUUUUGUCUAUCCAUAUCUAUAUUUUGAUAUCCUUGUUGGCAGAGACCAUACCUUGUUUAUGUUUUUUAUCUAAUGCCAGCUCAGUCUUAUGCAUAGGGGGGCCUAAUUCAUACUGAGUUGAUCUACAACCUUAAAAGUAAGCCCAAGCCCUUUACUCCCAACUUCACCCCAUUGGCUCAGUCCAGUGUUCUACUCUUCCAUUAUGAUCAGCAGCCCCAGGCAUCCUUUCUACUCUUAUCAGCUCCACUGGAUACCCAGGUCUCACCUGGUCUCAACUACCACUCAUGCCUCUGCUCUGUCCUUUACCCUCACAGAAACAUAUCCCGGCAUUUAUAAAUAUGGGCAGAGAAAGAUGAGGAAAGGGAAAAAAAAGAGAGUUUAAAGAAAAAUGAAUGGCAUGGUCAACAAUGAGAAAUGUAGUACGAGAUAAAGAGAAUGGUUGAAAUGUGUAAUGUAUUGAGACCUACUGUGCUCCAAGCUCAAAGGAGAUGUAAAGGGGAGAGAAAUCAACAAGGUAGAAGAGCCUCUUUCCCUCUACCUUGCAUCCUACUAUGGGGCCUUGCAUUCUACCAUGCUGUAUGUGCUGCAGACAAUCAGUAAGUAACCAAUGUAAUUACAGCUCACGAAGAGUGCCACAAAGGAAGGAGGCAGGGAGAUAAGAUGAUGAUGAUGACAAUAAUAGUAAGAAGUUACCUAUAGUUAGCCCAAAAUAGCUACUAUAUGUCAAGCCUUGUUUUAAAUGCUACCAGUAUCUAAUCUUGCUUAAUCCUUACAAGCACCCUAGAAAACAGGGAUAAUUAUUUUCUCCUUUGUAGAUGAGAAACUGAAGCACAGAGAAGUUAAGUAACAUCUUUCAAUGGCUAGCUUUGCUUAAUGAGCAACUGAGCUAUAAUUGUUAAGAAUGAGAAAAUCAAAUCUGAUGUGUCAUGGAAUAAAAGUUUAUUAAUUAACUUGUAACAAUUUCAAAAAUCCUUUUUAGCAAUUUUGAAUCUUAAAGUUAUAUUAAAUUAAGUAAUAGAUAUUUAUUAAAUGUCUGGGCCAUUUCUAAGUCAGUUAAAACACUGAAACACUAAUUAUUAAGCAUAAAUUUAAGUUUAUACAUUUUGAUAUAUUUUUAUGUGGUAUGGAUAAGCUAAAUAUAUUUGGGUUUGUAAAUAAACAUGAAAAUUUUGUUGUGAGGAAACAUGUUUCUGAAAAUUAUGAAAUGGUUACCAUUGACAAAAUAUUGAUAUAAAGCAGUUCAAAACUGCUUAUGUCCUAGGUUUUCAUGAUAAAUUAAGGUUACUAGAGUUUUAAAAAUCUAAUUAACAUAUGGUAAUUAAAACAACUCCUUACGCAAGGAAAGUAAGACAUGUUUUUGGUAAGUGAAGCUUACAUGAAAGAUGUGUUUUAGUUAAGGGAAGCAAAAGGAAUUUUCGUCUUAAAACAGGAUGAUUAGUUGUCCCAAAAUAAGAAAGAGAAAAGGUUGUGGAAAGUUUAUGAAAGAUGAAUCUUGUGAAAAGAAUUUUAUGUGCAAUUAAGCUGGCUAAAAUUGGAAGGGAAUUAUAAGUUUUUUCUAAAAACAGCAUUACUAUCAAAGUUGUACUAAUACAAAAUGAGAAUUUGGUUUUCUCCUUUAAACAAGAUUUUUCUGGGGCAUAGGUUCUCAGCACCUCCUGAGACUGUAUCAAGGGAAAAAUAUUUUUAAAGAUUUUUCUGUAAUAAGAGAUAGUAAAAGAUUUUUUGUUCACCUUUUGAGUAAACUGCAAAAGGUGAGAGUGGGAGGGGAGAGAAAGAGAAACAGAUUUUACGUGCUUCAUGAUGUCUUUUUUUAGGUCUUUUAAUUAUUUGGAAAAUUAGGUCUUCCCUCUAACAAAGAGUAAAGGUUUUUGCUUUUUAAAACUUUUAAUUAUCAAUUUGGCUAAAUGAUUGAUUAUUAUUUCAGAGUGAUCUGUGAUCCUAUUUUGAUCAAGUGUUUUAAACCUUUGACAUAUUUGACAGGCUUCCCAACAUAAAAUUUCAAAAGAAAAAAUAAGCCUUUUUGACUCCAAACUAACCUUCAGAUGCUACAGAGAGCCCUUGAAGCAUUCAAAACAGAUAUAAUAAAUAGGCUUAUUUGGUAUGUUUAAUUAUAUGGGAAGCAUUGUCAAAUAAGAAAUGAUGUUUAGCCUUUUCCUGAGUUACAUCAUUUUCCAAAAAUAGUAUGAGAUUUCUAAAAUUCUGACAUGUCAUGGUAUAUGUUAUCAGUCAUGAUAUUAUGAUUAUUAUGUUAAAUUAUUGUAGGCCACAGACAGAAUUAAACUUUCUUGUCAAUUAUGUCUUUAGUUAUAACCAUUUUAAGUCUUGUUGUCCUAGUUAAUUGAUUAAUUCUGAUGCCUUUUCUGAAAGCUCUUUACAAGCAAUUAUUAUCCUAAAGUGUUAUAUCUUCAAGGAGGUACAUGGAAAGGAUGGAAAGGACCCUGACAAGCACUCCUGAAUACAGAUUUCUGAUUACUUUAGGAUCAUAUCAUUUGGAUUAGGUAAAGGAAACUUUUCAUGAUUCACCAACUUAAGACAAUCAAACCCUUCAUGAUCUACAACGUGGAGACCAGGUUUUCUGGGAACGAUAAUAGAGGAAGACUGCCCUUGCCACCAACACUGCAGCAAAACGUUGGGACAUUGAACCUUGGGCCUGUAAUCACACAACUCAGAGUGGCCCUUCAGACUCUUGGAACUGUACACCUGUAGGAGACCUUAAGGUGCAGCUAAUCAGGGAAGUCUCUCCCCAGAAGCAGACAGCAUCCUAGACAUGGACAACUUUCCCAAGAUCAUGGAUCAAGAAUUCUCUGUCAUCAGAAAAAUUUUACCUCUCUUAGUUUUUUUCUUUUCCUUGCUUAUGCCUCUAUGAACAAUAUAAUUGGGAAAGGGGCCUUGUGUGCACCAAUGGAGUAUGCUUUUAUUUGUGGAGGAUUUUGCAGCCAACUUUAUACCUGAGCAACUUAUGCCUUGAUGGAUGGAAGAUGAAGGGCCAGUAUGGGCUAGAAAUUUUAAUAGUACCUUUGCUGCUCCAUGAUCAGUCAGAAACAGAACAUUUGUUCACUCCUCUUAACCUACAUCUUAGGUUAAAAGAACAUUGCCAGGAAGUCUUCACUCUUCUGGAUGGGCAUCAUUUCUUAGGUCUCUUUUCCCAUGGCCUGCAUUAAAUAUAAAUGAGGUAAUGCUUACAAAUAUAUCACUCAUAAUAGGCUCUACAGCAGGUUCAACUGCAAAGACUGUGGUUGCACAACAGACGUCUUUAAAUUCUCUUGCUAACGUUUUAUUAGGUAAUAAAAUUGCUCUAGAUUAACUAUGAAAA